rnacentral:lncRNA from 1 species
CGGCCAGGACGCUUUCAUCAAGGGCUUCAAGCUCUGCCAAGAGAAGGUGGCCGGAAAGUUUUUCGAACUGGACCUCGGCUUCUUGGAUGAGGCGUCCGACGAUGAAGCUGGACCUUCCGAAGCCACGGCCGAUCCUCCUCCAGCUGGGACCUCCUCAACUGUCGCGAUUGCCGCGAUCGACCUUCCGGGGUCGUCGAGUUCCUCCACUUCUGUCCCAG